AUGUCUCUCCUCCUCCGAACUCUCCCUCUCCCUCUCCGACCUUCCCCUUUCCUCUCAGCCACCGCCACCGCCAACGCCGCCUCUCUCUUCCUCUUACCCAAACUGAGAAACCCACUUCCCCGAACCCGAAGAACCUUCUCCAAUUCCACCGCCGCAGCCACCUCCAUCGACUCCGUAGUGAAACCGCCUCCUCCUCCUCUUCCUCCGUCGGUUCUCAGGUGGGUUUCUCGCACGGAGCUUUGCGGUGAGUUAUCAGUCGAAGACGUUGGAAAAAGAGUCCACCUUUGCGGGUGGGUCGCCCUCCACCGAGUCCACGGAGGUCUCACUUUCCUUAACCUUAGAGAUCACACAGGCAUUGUCCAGGUUAGGACGCUUCCGGAUGAGUUCCCUGAGGCGCACGGGUUGAUCAAUGACAUGAGGCUUGAGUACGUUGUUUCAGUGGAAGGUACUGUUCGUGCUAGACCAAAUGAGUCCAUCAACAAGAAAAUGAAAACUGGAGUCAUUGAGGUAGUUGCAGAGCAUGUUGAAAUAUUGAAUCCUGUGAGGUCAAAGCUUCCCUUCCUCGUUACUACUUCGGACGAGACAAAAGAUUCGAUUAAAGAAGAUAUUCGCUUAAGGUUUCGAUGUCUUGAUCUACGCCGUCAGCAGAUGACGAAUAAUAUUGUCCUUCGCCAUAAUGUGGUGAAGCUGAUCAGGAGGUAUCUAGAAGACAUGCAUGGGUUUAUUGAGAUUGAAACUCCAAUACUCUCUAGAUCAACUCCAGAAGGCGCUAGAGAUUAUUUGGUUGCCUCAAGAAUUCAGUCAGGAACAUUUUAUGCUUUGCCACAAAGUCCUCAGCUCUUCAAACAGAUGUUAAUGGUCUCUGGGUUUGACAAGUAUUACCAGAUAGCAAGAUGUUUUAGAGAUGAAGAUCUAAGAGCUGAUAGGCAACCUGAAUUCACUCAGCUUGAUAUGGAAAUGGCGUUCAUGCCUAUGGAGGACAUGCUCAAGCUGAAUGAGGAUCUUAUUCGUAAGGUCUUUGCAGAGAUCAAAGGUAUACAGCUACCUGAUCCAUUCCCAAGACUGACGUAUGCUGAUGCAAUGGAUCGACAUGGUUCAGAUAGACCAGAUACAAGAUUUGAUCUUGAGUUGAAAGACGUGUCAAAUGCUUUCACAGGAUCGUCCUUCAGGGUUUUCACGGAGACCCUUGAAAGCGGUGGAAUCAUUAAAGUGUUAUGUGUGCCUUUGGGUGCUAAAAAAUAUUCAAACUCAGCUCUCAAAAAAGGAGAUGUUUAUAAUGAAGCAAUCAAAUCUGGAGCAAAGGGUCUGCCUUUCUUGAAGGUCUUGGAUAAUGGCGAGGUCGAGGGAAUUGCAGCAUUAGUGUCUAGUUUAGACCCAGAGGGUAAAGCAAACAUUGUGAGACAAUGUCGAGCAAAGCCUGGUGAUCUUAUUUUAUUUGGAGUGGGUCCUGUUACUUCUGUUAAUAAAACCCUAGACAGGUUAAGACUCUUUGUCGCCCAUGAUAUGGAUUUAAUUGACCAUUCCAAGCACUCCAUUCUGUGGGUAACAGACUUCCCAAUGUUCGAGUGGAAUGAACCAGAGCAGAGGCUUGAGGCAUUACAUCAUCCAUUCACAGCUCCUAGGCCUGAAGAUAUGGAUGACUUACCUUCUGCAAGAGCUCUCGCUUAUGACAUGGUCUACAAUGGGGUCGAGAUUGGCGGAGGAAGUUUAAGGAUAUAUAAGCGGGAUGUCCAAGAAAAGGUUUUGGAGAUCAUUGGCAUCUCAGCUGAAGAAGCUGAAGCGGAGUUUGGCUAUCUUCUGGAGGCUCUUGACAUGGGUGCUCCUCCUCAUGGUGGAAUUGCUUAUGGAUUGGAUAGGAUAGUGAUGAUGCUGGGAGGUGCGAGUUCCAUAAGGGAUGUAAUAGCUUUCCCAAAGACAACCACAGCGCAAUGUGCCUUAACCAGAACUCCCUCUGAAGUCGAUCCAAAGCAGCUCCAAGAUCUCUCCAUCCGCACCAAAUAAUAGCUCUGAGAAGAUGAUCAAGUAGAGAUGUGGUAAUAAUAGUAUAUCGGAGGUGGAGAGAGAGGGAAAACAGACUGAGCUUCGAUAAAUCUAGAGAGAGAGUUUAUAUAAUAAGGGAACAAAGAGGGCAAACUUUGGAGGAAGGAGAGAGUGCAAAGGACAUUGGUAAGGCCCAGAUAGAAGAGGGUCAAGUUUUAAGGGAAAAGUGCAUAUUUCAAUCUGAAUUUUACCAGUUGUGCCUAUUUUCUCCUGAAAUUUGAAGUGGUGCGUAUUCCAUACCGAAUUACAGAAAAAACUCCAAAAUACUACAUAAAUUCUCAAAAUUGUGCUUAUAUAUAUAUAUAUAUUAAUCGUCAAAUGU